rnacentral:rRNA from 1 species
UACGUAGGUCCCGAGCGUUGUCCGGAUUUAUUGGGCGUAAAGCGAGCGCAGGUGGUUUAUUAAGUCUGGUGUAAAAGGCAGUGGCUCAACCAUUGUAUGCAUUGGAAACUGGUAGACUUGAGUGCAGGAGAGGAGAGUGGAAUUCCAUGUGUAGCGGUGAAAUGCGUAGCUAUGUGGAGGAACACCGGUGGCGAAAGCGGCUCUCUGGCCUGUAACUGACACUGAGGCUCGAAAGCGUGGGGAGCAAACAGG